rnacentral:rRNA from 1 species
UCAGGACGAACGCUGGCGGCGUGCUUAACACAUGCAAGUCGAGCGAUGAAGCUCUUCGGAAGUGGAUUAGCGGCGGACGGGUGAGUAACACGUGGGUAACCUGCCUCAUAGAGGGGAAUAGCCUUCCGAAAGGAAGAUUAAUACCGCAUAAGAUUGUAAUAUCGCAUGAUAUAGCAAUUAAAGGAGUAAUCCGCUAUGAGAUGGACCCGCGUCGCAUUAGGCUAGUUGGUGAGGUAACGGCUCACCAAGGCGACGAUGCGUAGCCGACCUGAGAGGGUGAUCGGCCACAUUGGGACUGAGACACGGCCCAGACUCCUACGGGAGGCAGCAGUGGGGAAUAUUGCACAAUGGGGGAAACCCUGAUGCAGCCAACGCCGCGUGAGUGAUGACGGUCUUCGGAUUGUAAAGCUCUGUCUUCAGGGACGAUAAUGACGGUACCUGAGGAGGAAGCCACGGCUAACUACGUGCCAGCAGCCGC